CAAUUGGGCAACCAGAUCCCAGGCCUUGCUGGUCACUCUAAAGGUCACACUGACAGCCUAUGGUCAAGCACAGCCAGCUGCAUGAAGUCCCGGACUACCCAGGCAGGGGGAGCUGCCUUCACUCACCCUUUCCCAGUAAUGCUUCCAGAAACACCUCCCCAUUAUACACUGGGGACUUUGUAAGCACAGAUGUGGGUCCCAUGGAUACUAGAAGGAAGCAGUAACUGUAAACCUUGGUGGAAGCCAUGUUGAGUUCAUCACAGAACUACUAGCCAGGCCUGGCUCCAAACAGGCAUCAGGGAAUGUCAGUGGAACUUGAUUGCAUUGAAGAAUCUGAUGAGGAACUUCCAUCUUCCUGGGCUCUGAGUGUCUCUAGUUUCACCGCUAGAGCUGGUGUCUGUUCUGUCAGGCCCUUCUCUGGGCACCCACAGCUGAUCCUGGAAAGGUAGAGACAGACCCUGUAGGCCUGGACUCUGCCUUUGGGAGGAGAAUAUCCUCAGGGGCCUGCAUGAGCCAUCCUGAAAAACUAGUUCUGUGAGUCAAUCCUUAAGUGAGUUCCUGGGGGAAAGGCCCAGAAUCUUGGAGGUGGGGUUGGAAGCAGCUUGUCACCUCUUAGAAGCAAAGAGGGAUGUCUCCUCCGAAGGAACCUUACUCUUUAUCUGACAGAGUUUCCGGCAUGGCAGGUCUUUGUCAAGGGUGCUGGGAUGAGCUGAAAGGCCCUGAACUGGACCCUCCAAUUAGACAUGAGUGUGUCAUGUCUAUCCUAAACAAAGAAACAAAACCCUCUCUUAACGUCAGGCUACUCUAGUUGUAGCAUUAUGUUCUUCCUACUGUUUAUAGCUAAAUCUCUUGAACGACUUGUUUAAACUUGCUAUCUCCACUUCCUCGUCUUCUAAUUCCUUCAUAACUCAGGCCCAUUCCUAAAAUAAGGCUGUCCUUCCAGGCCCUCCCAAAUGAUGUCAUCUAAUCUAAUUAACUUCAGGUAUCACCUUGAUACUAACAACCUGCAGUCCGUCUCCUGAGCUGCAAACCCAUGUAUUCAGCUGUCUACUAGACAUCUUGACUCAGCUAGCCGACAGACACUUCACACUCAACAUGUACAGAGUGAACUCAUCAUCUUUUCUUAAAAUAGAUCCAAAGUGUUCCCUGUCUUUGUGAAUGCACUGCCAUUCUCAUCCUCGACUCACCGCCUCUCCCUUUCCUUGUUAUAUAUAAUCAAUCACUAAUACUUCAAUCCUAUGUCAUGAAUAUCCCCCAAACACACACACUUCUCUCCAUCCUCACAGCUUUUUUGCUGAUCAGGACCAUCAUCAUCAUUUUUGCCUUGAUGAUGACAAUAACCUCUUAACUGUGUUUUAACAAG